CGCGAAUCGCCCUUCGGGGCGCAGCAGGCGCGAAAACUUUACAAUGCGGGAAACCGUGAUAAGGGGACACCGAGUGCCAGCAUCAUAUGCUGGCUGUCCGGGUGUGUAAAAUACACCCGUUAGCAAGGGCCGGGCAAGACCGGUGCCAGCCGCCGCGGUAACACCGGCGGCCCGAGUGGUGAUCGUGAUUAUUGGGUCUAAAGGGUCCGUAGCCGGUUUGGUCAGUCCUCCGGGAAAUCUGACGGCUCAACCGUUAGGCUUUCGGGGGAUACUGCCAGGCUUGGAACCGGGAGAGGUAAGAGGUACUACAGGGGUAGGAGUGAAAUCUUGUAAUCCCUGUGAGACCACCUGUGGCGAAGGCGUCUUACCAGAACGGGUUCGACGGUGAGGGACGAAAGCUGGGGGCACGAACCGGAUUAGAUACCCGGGUAGUCCCAGCCGUAAACGAUGUUCGCUAGGUGUCAGGCAUGGCGCGACCGUGUCUGGUGCCGCAGGGAAGCCGUGAAGCGAGCCACCUGGGAAGUACGGCCGCAAGGCUGAAACUUAAAGGAAUUGGCGGGGGAGCAC
rnacentral:rRNA from 1 species